rnacentral:lncRNA from 1 species
UUUUUUUUUUUUUUACUGUGUAGCCAAAAGCAAAUGAGGCUGGUGAGGUUUAGCUGUAGAGAAGGUGCAGCUCCCUGUGGUAGCCUUGUCUCACCAGGAGUGAUGAACCCUGAAAUCUCUCUCUGCAGCACUUCUCACUGUUCCUUUCUGCCCAGACCAUUUUGCACUGGUGAAUCUCCAGCCUGAGUAUGAAACAGAAAAUCAGAAUGACCACGAGAUUUCACCUCUCCAUGGAACUGCUGUCUUCUGUCCUCUUGGUUUUAUGCUCCUGCUGUUUCCCCUUAAGUGACUGAAGAGUCAAUAAUAGUGGAUUGGGAAAGGAGGAGGGAAUACCUUUGAUUUCUCCAAGAAGCUGGGCUGUCAGGCCAGGUUUUCCUCUGCCAGGGGUGGUUCCCUCAUUUCCACACCCUUGCUGAUGUUCCCUCACUCUGCAGAGGAAAAUUCAAGGCCAGCAUUUCCCCUGAUGCUCUGGAUCCACAGCUUUGCAAGGGUGACACGCUCCUGGAAACACAUUCCUGGUUCUCAUCCCUGCUCCUUCCCCCGUGUUGUAACUGUGUUGUAACUUAGUGAUUAAAAGUCAUUUUUAGAAGCUGGGGAGUGAAUGAUUAAAUUUCAUUAGUUUCAAAGGAGAUGCAGAACCCCAGUCUGCUUCUUGUGUAGUGUUCAGAUGGCAGUUUCUGCUUUGCUUCGUAAAAUAAAUAAAAGUUAAUAUAUGUUAUGAAGGUCUGGGUAAUCAUCACGUCCCUUCAAAGUCUCCAGAUUUGAGGUUUUUUACCAGUGUAAGCCAGACUUAGCUGCCUGCAGAGAUGCUGUACCCUCUUGCAGGGGUAAAACAAGAGAGACCAAAAAACAUGGCCACAGUCAGGGUCAGGCUGCAGGAAAGAAUAAAUGGGUUUCUAUUUUAUGUACCUAUGCUUUAGUUACAGCUAAGCUAUGACAAAUUAGGAUUUAAGUUAAUAUAUUUGCUAAAAUGCAUAGGAAACCUGGCUGUAUUUCCCACCUGUGACUGUUUGGGUGAUUUUUUUCCCUGUAGUAUGCAUGUGGUACUGCCAGGAGAAAUGAUUUAGAUAAAAUGGCAAAGGAUUCUGAAGGUUAUUUUGGGCUUUGCUGAAAGAUAAAAUGCAAUAUUGUGACAAAUUCUGCAAACAAUGUCUUUCAUCAAAGUUCUGGUUAAUGUUCUCUUGGGUACUCGUGCUCAUGAGUUGAAUGGGAGUCACAGAUUACAUAAAGAAGAGUGGAAUUUUCUCUGAGUCACUAAAAGGGAAAAAAAAAAGGUUUAAAAGAUAAUAUUUUUACAAUUAGGCUUUUAAAACUUCUUUGUGAAUUUGUUUGUGCUGUGGUUUGUUCCACCCCUGAAACCCUGAAAUUGAAAUGCUAAAUUCAAUAGAAGCAGGGAGUUAGCUUGCAAUCUGGGAAAUUAUUUCAGGGUGAAUCAGGAUGAAAAGUCAACUUAAAAGCUUUACCAGGAUUCCUCCCCAAAGAUGUUUUCACAUGAAGAUUGCUUUUAAGUGAUUUUCUUUUUAGAGGUAGAAGGAAGUAUGAUUUUAAUUGAUUACACUAACACAAGGCAUUUGAUGCUGAAAUCAAGACAGGCUGAACCAGGAUGACCCAACAGGAUACUCUGCUGUGAUAUGAUUGCAGUUAAUUUCUUAGAAUACAUUUAAAACAAGUUUUUAAUCUGGUUGUAAUGGAAUAAAACCCCAGGAUUUAGCUGGUGGGAGGUGCCUUUUGCAGUUUUGAAUUAGCUGUUCUUAUUGAACCAGUGAUUUUAAAUGCCAAGAAGUUCUUUUUGCUACUUGAUUCCAUGUGCUUUGAUCCCCCUCCAGGGCUGCAGUCAUUUGGAUAAAGCUGUGUUUGGAGAGAGAGGUUUCUGAGCAUCCAACACAUGCCAGAUUCUCUCUCAUGAAGGGACUCACAAUGGUAGAAACAGCAAAAUAAAAAUCUUAAUUCUGGUAAUUUUAUUUCAGAAUGCAAAGCGAACAGAGAGAAAUCUGUGUAGAAGACUGCCAGCUUCAUAAAUUCUUGCAAUUCUGCUCUGCAAAACUGGAAAUGAAAAAAGUGGGUUUUAUUCUUUAUCAUAUUCCAAUGUUGUUUAUAAAUCUUAUUGCUGAAUUUGCAAGUGAAUGGGGAGUUUAAAAAAAAAGGUGAAAAAUUCCUAUUUGUGCAACUUGGAAACUCAGCUUGAUUCCUGAGCAUAAAGCUGUUUUGAUCAACCUUCAUUUAUUAUUUCUGAAGUGUAGGGGAAGUUCAAUAAGCAAAACGAUUGUGCAGUUAAACACACAUUCAAAAUAAUGUUUCUAAUUUCAGUGGCUUUGUGCAUUGGUAGUCAAUAGAGACCAGAUUUCAAAUUGAUAUAGAAGUGCUUAUAAUUUCAGUUGGCUGAGAAAAGGAUCCUGACUUCUAAAUUGUCUGCAAUUGCCAUGUUGCCUGGAGGGAGACAGAGCUUUCCUUCCUGGAGAUUUAUGGUGUUCAAAAAUUCAAGACAUUUAAGUCCAUGGGAGUUUUGCAUGUUUAAUAAUAAUAUUGCUUCAAAUCAGAGUAAAUUGAGAUGCAACAAAAUAGUCCCUUGUGUUUUCCAUGCUGCAAAAAAAUCUGUUUCUGUUCAGAGAACUGCUCUGAGGGGUUUUCACUGAGGCUCCACAGAAAGACAGGAUCUGAAUCAGCAACCCAGAAAUAAGUUCUAAUUGGGAAACUGAUUGAAACAAGUUUUAUAUGGGAAAAUUCUUGAAACUAUUGUAAAUUAUCAUACUUGCAUAGCAAAUAAACCUGUUUUUCCAGAGUACUCUGGACAGAGAUAAAAUUUUACUGAUCUAGAAGCAGUUUUUGGGGUAGAGAUGGUUUCUGUUUUAUUUCUUAGAUAGCUUUUACCUUGUCCAAUUGUCCGGCCUUGAUUUCUUGUGCUUGCUCUGAUUUUCCACAUCACCAAAGGAGUUGCCUGUGAACUCCUGUUUGGUCUUUUCUGGACAUCAGGCUGUUUUGUUAUACAUAGUAAACUACUUAUAAUCUCAGGGGGAAACUAUUAUUUGGAUUUUGAUUUUGGCCUAAAAACUGAGAAUUCUGAUUUUACAUGGAUUUGGAACAUUUGUUCACAUUUGGAGUUAGCAGGAGAGUGAUUUCCUUCUUUGGGACUAAAGCAUGGUCCCAAGCAGGGAGGUUUCUGAUCUAAGUUUUUGAUCUAACAGGGAAGUUUUUGUUCUGAGAAGCUGUACAUUCUUACAUCAAAUCCUUAUAAAGUCAGAGAGCUGGAUGUUGCAAAAUGAAAAAAAAAAAAAAAAAAGAAAAGAAAAUGGCUUAUUUGUUAUUUUUUGAUUUUUCACUUCUUACGAUUCUGCUACAGUUCUUUGCUUCAGAGGACAUUUAGGUGGUAUAUUUAGGAGUAGGAAUACAGGAAUGCAGCAGAAAAAGCCUUUUGCUAGACAAACCUUUCUCACAGCAAGGAACCACAGUGUGUUAGGCUUGCCAAGAGGCAAAUGUGAUGGCAGGGACUUAAAGCUGAGCUUCCAAAUCCUGCUAAUGCAAAGGACAUGUUACAACAUCUCUGCCCUGACAGCUCUUUGUGCACUCCCUGGUAUAAACAGAGCCUGAGUGCAUUAAUCCCACCCUGCUCCUCCACUGCUUGCUGCAUCCUCUUGCUCCUGUUGUCAGAGAUAAGAGGGGACAAGGUUCUGCAUGUGAGGAUAUUUUUUUUCCUCUCUCUGUCUGUUUUUAUAAGGAGAUGGUGUUCCCUUUGAUUUUUGUACGAGCACGACAGGGACUCGGUAAAUUUAACUUAAAAACCAUUUGGCUUUGAGAGCUCAUUAAAAACUCGCACUCAGCUGAUCAAGGGAGGAUGCAGAACUGAAGAUGCAGAGUUCACCAGCCUGAGAUGCUCCCUAAGUAAAACACUAUUCUCAGAUAAAACAAAAUGUGCUCUGGAAAGCAGAGCUGCAGCACACCCAGGAGAGAGCAGCUGACAUUUCUGACUGGUCUCUUACAACAGACCCAGUUCUUGGUAAUUCCUGUGUUUUAUUUGCAACACUCAGAAGUAAAGGUAAACCUAAAAGUAAAAAGCAAAAUACAUAAUUAACACUGGAGGAGAGACUGGCUGCAGCACAGUUUAAGGCUGUCUUUAUUUUCACUGCUUGCAGUUCCCUGCUGCUUUAAACUCUGCUCAACAUUAAUCAUUCAAACUUCAGCUUUCCAGGUGAGAUGUGUGCCUUGGGCUGACUGUAAUUAUGAGGAAAAUACCUGUUUGGGUUUUCUUUUUCUGCAAAACUAAGAAUGAAUAAAACCAUAUUAUUUUGUUCUUGCUGGAAGGAAUCCUGGCAGAUAUUUCUCUGAGAAGUUACAGCAAUGUGAGUGCUGGCAGCAAAAGCUCCUUUCAUAAUGCACUUUUUUUGAAAAGCCUUUAUUAAUUAUAAGCAUUUUAAAGAGAUUAUUAGUAUAACUCUGGAGGUGAUGAAGAUGCUUGUCCAUGCUGGACUUGCCAAAGCCAAGAACUUGGCAGGAUUUCCCUUGGAAUUUCACCUGUAAUCUCCUAUACAGCUGGAUUUUGGUUAAACAGAAGAUAAAAUGAAGGGGAGACUCUCCCCUGUGCUUUCUUGAUGUGGUCCAGCACCAUGGCAGGGACUUCUGGAUGUGGAUGUUGAUGUCAAAGUGCAAAAACAAAAAUGUUGAUAAAGAGCCCAGGAAGGAGGGGAUGGAGAUGGAAAAGUGAAAUAGUGAAAGGGAAGUAGACUCUGGAAGUGAGAGGGUAAGAAGGGAUUAGGAAAGGAGGAGUGGGAGAGGUGACUCAGCUUCAGACUGGACAACAAAAAACCUGAACCUGCCAUGAUAUGGAAGAGAAGAAACGUGGAUGAUGAGGGUCAAAGGUAUACGGAAGAAAACUGAAUAAAAAAAAAUCAGAGCACUGGGCAUGGAGAUGUGAAAGAAGAGGGUAAAUGAGAGGCACCCGUGAUGAGGGCAGGAAAAGAGGAAAGGGGAUUGUGCUGAAUCCAGAACUGACCAACCAAAUGGAAGCAGGGAGCAGCUGGACGUGGAAAGGGAAUGUGGGCACUGGGCAGAGAUGCUGCCAAAAGGGAAAAGCUGUGAUGACAAAGAGGGGAGACAGGGAGAGGAUGAACUGCAGGGCAAGGCAGGCGGCUCAGUGAUUCAAAAGCCCCAGCAUGGUUACUCACACCACACGGAGAUGGGAUGUCACGUUUCAAACUCGAUUUUCCCCACCACGUCCGAACCUUAUCUGUGGCAGGCACAUUCUUCUCUCUCUCAGGAUUUUUUCAUAGAGGAGCACAGAGAGAAAUGGAAGAGAAAACAAUUUCUGUUUCUGCUCCUUGUUUUUCCCAUGUGGAAUGUGUUUGGAGAAUUGUUUACCUGGGGUGAUUGCUGGGUUGGAUUCUGGUGAGGAUUGUUUGAGCUGAUGGCAAAUCCAACCCACCUGGGGCUGGGCUCUCAGAGAGGGUCAGGAGUUGUGAGUGAGUUAUGGUAGUUAGGAAAAGUAGGUUUGUAGUUUUAGUAUC